rnacentral:sRNA from 1 species
UGAAAAAUCUUGUACGGGCCGCCUGUCAU